UAUUACACGAGAUGUGGUGGUAGAAUCUGUUUCUCUAAUGAUUUUCAAACAAUAUGCAGGCAAACGUAUUCCUUCUUUUCGAAUGAUCUGCAAAAAGAUGUGUUCUUUCCAUGUGACGUCAUCAGGCAUGGUCGCCUUUUUUCAUGCCGUCACAAUAGGAAAUUCAGAGGAAAGCAAGAAAAUUUGACGUCAUAAUAGGAUUUUAACAAAUG
rnacentral:lncRNA from 1 species